GACGAACGCUGGCGGCGUGCUUAACACAUGCAAGUCGAACGGAAAGGCCCUGCUUGCCGGGUACUCGAGUGUCGAACGGGUGAGUAACACGUGGGUGAUCUGCCCUCCACUUCGGGAUAAGCCUUGUAAACUGGGUCUAAUACCGGAUAGAAGCCAUUUUUAUUGUGAUGGUUGGAAAGUUUUUUCGGUGUAGGAUGAGCUCGCGGGCUAUCAGCUUGUUUGUGGGGUAAUGGCCUACCAAGGCGGCGUCGGGUAGCCGGCCUGCGAGGGUGGACGGCCACAGUGGGACUGAGAGACGGCCCAGACUCCUACGGGAGGGAGGAGUGGGGAAUAUUGCAAAAUGGGCGCAAGCCUGAUGCAGCGACGCCGCGUGGGGGAGGACGGCCUUCGGGUUGUAAACUCCUUUCGCUAGGGACGAAGCUUUUUGUGACGGUACCUAGAGAAGAAGCACCGGCUAACUACGUG
rnacentral:rRNA from 1 species